rnacentral:rRNA from 1 species
UACGUAGGGGGCAAGCGUUGUCCGGAAUUAUUGGGCGUAAAGAGCGUGUAGGCGGUCCGGUAAGUCAGCUGUGAAAGUCCAGGGCUCAACCCUUGAAUGCCGGUUGAUACUGUCGGGCUAGAGUCCGGAAGAGGCGAGUGGAAUUCCCGGUGUAGCGGUGAAAUGCGCAGAUAUCGGGAGGAACACCAAUGGCGAAGGCAGCUCGCUGGGACGGUACUGACGCUGAGACGCGAAAGCGUGGGGAGCAAACAGG